rnacentral:rRNA from 1 species
GAUGAACGCUGGCGGCGUGCCUAAUACAUGCCAGUCGAGCGAACAGACGAGGAGCUUGCUCCUCUGACGUUAGCGGCGGACGGGUGAGUAACACGUGGAUAACCUACCUAUAAGACUGGGAUAACUUCGGGAAACCGGAGCUAAUACCGGAUAAUAUAUUGAACCGCAUGGUUCAAUAGUGAAAGACGGUUUUGCUGUCACUUAUAGAUGGAUCCGCGCCGCAUUAGCUAGUUGGUAAGGUAACAGCUUACCAUGGCAACGAUGCGUAGCCGACCUGAGAGGGUGAUCGGCCACACUGGAACUGAGACACGGUCCAGACUCCUACGGGAGGCAGCAGUAGGGAAUCUUCCGCAAUGGGCGAAAGCCUGACGGAGCAACGCCGCGUGAGUGAUGAAGGUCUUCGGAUCGUAAAACUCUGUUAUUAGGGAAGAACAAAUGUGUAAGUAACUAUGCACGUCUUGACGGUACCUAAUCAGAAAGCCACGGCUAACUACGUG